ensembl:lncRNA
CUUAUUUUACCUCAAACUGUGCUUAUGCAUUUUAACAUUGUAUCUACUGAAAAUACACUCAAACAGCUCAUUUUUAUUUUCCAGUUAAUAGAUCAUGUUCAUAAGCAUCUUCCCCCAAUAGCGACUCGAAUGCAGAUACCGUUCUACAAAUAUUUAAAAAAUCACACUCAAAUUGAAGUAUGGCUUGCAGUCUUUUUUCUUAGAGAAAAAAGUCCAAAUCAAAUCUACCAUGAGAGUUGAAAAGAAUUUGCUGUUAAAUGAAUUAUAUGCAUUUUUAAUUACAGACACUAAAAACUCUAGAGGCCAGUAAGCGGCUGCAUGUUGAAAUGAAACAACAUGGGAGCACUGGGAAACAAUUUUCCUCCGGAGUACGUACAAACAGAAGUAAAAGGGAAAAAAUGAGGUGGAAUGUUUUUGGGCAAGGUGACUUGUUGAUCUCAAUCACGGAUAUCAAGCUGUGUCCAAUAAUAGAAUUAGUGUACAAUUAGAUCGCACCAGCAGAGCUGCAUAUUAAGGACGCUUAUUAAUCGUCUCAAGUGUGAUCGCGAGCCCCCUGCGGCUUCCGACCGCUGCUCAGGGAGAGCGAUGACUAGGACAUGUCCUAUGUUUGUCUCCAAAGGUCGAACCCCAGCCCCCCACAUGCACUCGCUACCUGUAUUGCAGUUUCCUAUUAACAGCUUCGCCCCACCGGCCAUGUUUGUUUUCAUUAUGUACAUUGUAGGGGAUUAAUAGGGGGGAAUAGGAUUAAGCAGGCGUCAGAAACCUAAUUAAAGUAGCCCUUCAUCUUUGCUGGCGGGGGCCCCGUCUCGGUGUCGCUCUCUGCGAGUGUGUUCACUCGUCACCUCCUGCCCUCUGUUUCUCCCACGCGGCUCUAACUACCUUCAGUAUUCACAUUUUAGACGUGCACCCGUACACUCCCCUUUUUGUUUAACUCCUCGGCUUCACCCCCAUCGCUCCCGCCUUCAUUCUCGUCCCCUUUUCCUCUCAUCCUUUUCUCACUUUCCAUCAUGCAUAUUUUCGUCUCUCAGAGAGAGACAGCAAAUUUGCUUUUUGCCCCCCCCGCGCCCCAAACACACAAUACAACCAUUAAACCACAUCAGUGAUUAAUUCAUGAGCCGAAAGUGCAAUUACAUUGGUAGAAGUCUACUGGAGAACACAGCGGUUCAGCUGAGGGGUGAGCCAACAACAACUGCCAAUAUGAGGAAGGGUGAGUGCUCCUCCGUGAGGUGGAAUAGUCUCUACCUAUGCAUGUGUGUGUGUGUGUGUGUGUGUGUAUAUGUAAUCCUAAAUAAUCUGGCAAUACAAACCCAGGUAGCGCGGAGGUUGUUGAAAUGCCAGAGAGCCGCGAGUCAGUAUUCCUGGCACAGCGCUAAAGGCACAAAUAUCAUUUCCUAGCACAAUGCCUGCUAACAGGGGGAAAGACAGAGGGCCGGGAAAAAGAAAGACACAGAGGACGGAGGGAAAGAAAGGAAGAAUGAGGAAGAAACGAUCACGUGCGACAAAGCUGGAAAGGUUUGUAAGGAGCCGGGCAAGUGAGAAUGUUUCGGGGGAAGAUGUGCCGUUUGGCGUGCGUUCUGUCUUUAGAGUUGGAACAAAUGAACAACAUGAGUUCAUUCCUUACAAUUCCCUUCACCCUCUGCUCCCCCUGAUGUACAAAGACACUGGUCUGUGGAGAGACUUAUCUGGAAGCAACAGCAGCACCCUGCAUGUGUGUCUAUGUGGGUCUGUGUGUGCGUGUAUGUGACUGUACAUGUGUGUUUUUGGCAAUGUGCACGCAUUGUGAAGGCUACGGUGUGCGUGCGUUGCCUUUUCUGCCAAGAUUUCCUUGUUUGUUUUCAAGCCACUGCUUUAUGUGACACUCAGGUGGUUGAAGGUUUCAUUCCUGUGGAUUUGAGAAGGCUGUUGACACUCGUUUGUUGUGUUACGAUAUCAGUGUUUAUAAGAAGUGGACAGUCACCAUUUCGGCACUCAAUGGUUUGUGGUAUACGGUUAUGAAGCCAUUUCUUAAUAAAUAACAUGUUGGUACAUUUUUUUGUUGGAAAAUAUAUUGAACGCUGUAUAAUAACUAAACACUGGCAAAAGUCAGAUGAGUGCAGCUUUACUUUUUACAAUCCUAGCACCCACCCGUGUUCUUUUUGAUCAGUUGUCCCUGUGAUUUUUCCUGAUGUUGCUGAGAAGAACUCUGGCAGAUCGGGAAAUUGAGUUAAGUUGAUGUCCUUAAAAAGACCUUGCACACAAAACAAAAGAGAUGUGGAUCUAUACAAAGAGCUUACCACCGCAGGACAAUAAGAAAACAUAUACUAGAAAAAUACAGUCAUUUGAUGCUUUGUUUGACGGCUAGUUCUCAUCAUAAACUGUUCUACACUGCCAUACAUUUUAUCAAUGAAAAAAUGGAACACAACCUGUCUCAUUUGCAUCUCACCUGGUGGGAAAAAGAAAAAAAAGUAAUCAUCUCGGAGCGCUCCUGUGACCACACAAGAGGUUCCGAUUGAAAUAACAAAUCCAUUAAAACAAAAGCUGCCACGGUAAGUCAGUGUAAAUUGUUGUUGUUGCAUGAACAAGGAGAAGUCGAGAUGAAUAAUGUCAGGGUGGUAGUAGAUUUAGUCAGGGACCAUCUGUGGUGGAGCCCGAAAAGUCUCCAAACGCGCUGGAGGAAAAACCAGCUGCAAGCACGUAUCCGGUCUCAGUGAGCCAGUGUGUCUUAGCAUUCACGUGUGUGUGUGUGUGUGUGAGUAGGUGUGUGUGUGUAUAUAACAGUCUUACACACAUUCCAAACAGAGCGGCUGUGUUUGCAAGAAGAGAAAAAAGGAGAGCGAGAUAGCGAGUUUCCCUUUUUUGCAAGAGUAUGCGUUCAAAUGUGUGUGUGGCUGCUGAAUCACCUCCCUGUGAGACCGUGCUGGUUUGUGCAGGUGACCGGGGCGACGCGUUAAUCACAACCCCAGGCGAUGUUUCUGUGAAUAUAUGUGGAACUCCUGUGAAAGCGGGAAGAUACAGUCAACACACAAAUUUGCUGAGUUGCAUGCGUGCACAUGACUGGUUAAUAUAUGCACAUUACAUUGAACUGAGCACAGUCUCCUCCAAAAAAGGCUCCGUGAUGUAAUCUGCCCUGAUCUUGUUGAGUAAAAACCAACAGUGUCCUUCCAUGGGAUGAGACGGGCCUCAGCUGCUCCGUUUUCCUACAAGGGUCUCAAUUGGCAUUCAGAGAGGAGAGGAGGGACUCGGCUCCUAAUUAGGUUGGCUCACACAUUCCAAGAUCCAACCAAUCAAUGGUCCUCUAAUGGGCUGUCAGUCACACGACAAGGCCUGGGACAGGUCAGGGUUGCAGGAGGAAUGCCUUAAUUUCUCAACAGAAUGGGACAAAAUAGGCCAGAUAGGAGCCCGGCCAAUGGGGGCAAUUAUGGAAAAUGAUGAGGUCCAAUUGCGGGACGCGGCGCAUAAUGAGCUGCAGGAUGGUGCAUGUGGGUUACCCUGUGAGCCUUUUAAUCGUUUCAACUUUCCCGGGGUGGAAGGUCGGCCUUUGCCUGCGGCUUUCUUCCUCUUUAUGCGCCGUCUUUUAUUGUCGCAUUGUGUUUAGAGUACAGACUCAUUACAAACUUGGGCUAAUUAUAAGCGAUUUUCUCCGUCUUUUAUCUCGGUUGACACAUGCCCCGAACACCUGACGCUGAGGUAAAACAAACGACGGAAAAACCAACAGAUGCCGUUUGUGGUAUCGUCAUGUUCGUGGACAGCUUGUUUGUCUUGUCAUUUUCACAGUAGAAACAAAUGAUGUGGUGUCACUAUACGGAUGGAUUUCCAUAACUAUCAUGGAUAGAAUGGCUGUGUAUUUGCGGAGAAAGCUAUAUGUCAUUUUCUUGAGAAAAAAAAUAAGCUUCCUGUCAAAGUAGAGCCUUGUUUUCCGUCUCACUACCGACAUCAAGGCUGUUGACUUUCAUGGUUCUCCUCCCUACUUUGUCAAAAACUCGAUCUUAUUGGCGAAUGAAUUGAAAAUUCCCCCGGAGACUGCAGUUUUUGACAAUUCCACACCAGCGUUUUAUGACAACUGUGGCUCAGAUGGAAUUAAACGUUUUCAUGUAAUCAUAAGAUGGCUGUCGGGGAUUGCACGACAGCUACUGAAUAAAUUACUCGCUCAUAAAUGCAACAAUCACAUGGCAAAUACCGCUGUGAGAACAGUGCUUAAAUAUGUUUAAGCAAAGAAUUAAAUUUCAGUCGUAGGCAUUACGAUUUUAAUGUUUUUUAAGAAAGCAAUCAAUGUAAUGAUGGCAUCAUGUGAAAGGGGAUGGCCACAAACUAUUGCAGAUCACUUGAGCGGUACACAAUGUUUUAUCCAUUUUUUAGUCUCGGCCCCUUCUGGACUCCAAACAACAAAAAAGUGUUAUUGUUGCUGUAUGUGUGUUUGAUGUAUAAAUAGGCAACAGUUUGCUAAUGCGUUCUACAUAACAACUUCAUAAUGUUGUCAGUGUCGUGUCCACCUCCUUUUCCACUGCGUGAAAGUGGUCAAAAGAAGGAAAUAGAAUCCCAAAACGCUUUUGGACAGGUGGUAUGUCCUAUUUACGAUAAUCCAGAAUUAGCUUAAAAUGGCACUAAAACAUACUUGAAUCACUCUGCAAUAUAUUUGUAUUGAAUCCCAUGGACACAUCUUCUCAUAUAUAUCUUAUAUGAAUUAACCAUCAUGAAUAAUCCACUGUUUAUUCCUGCUGUAUAAAUAGUCAAUCAAAAAAGCAACAUUGUCGUAUACGACAGAAUCAAGACUCAUUAUCUUGAUAAUAAGGAACAAGUGCAAGAUAAUUGUAUUUUCAACAACUGGAAGAAGCUGAAGCGUAAUUAAAGCUUCAGAGUUUCAUUAGAUGGCAGAUGGUAGAAUAAGUGAAAAGCUUAAGAAUCACUUCCAACAUAUUCAUCCUCUUGAGUAAAACAUUCUAAAAAAUGUGCAGGAAAGAGGAGGAGGAGUGACAAGUCGCAACGCCGCUUUACCGCUGUAAGUAAUGAGGUUUUUUAUGGAAAAUGUGAUGUUCAUUUAGAGAAGCACUACAGUAACAAGACGAGCAGCAUGAGACCUUACAGCGAUCCUCUCGGCCGUGAUUCCAUUUGUGUGGGUUAUUUACUGCUGGGCCUCUGAAGCGAUCGUAUGCAAUCUUUAAUGUUUGUUCCUCAAGAUCCAGUCUGAAAGUGUUAUCGUUUCACGAGAGUCCGCUUGGUCUCAAACUCCUCGAGUUGUAUCUUUUGAAAAAGUUGCGCCGUCUUGAGUUCUCGUCUGAUAUUUCUCAAGGAGCUUAACUUCUUCAUUUCAACAUCACGCUCUUCAUUUCAUCAUCGACAUUCAAGCCUUUCAUCCGUCCUAUAUUUGACCAUUUCCAUUCAAUAUUGGCUGAUUGAUAAGCAAGAAUGCUAAACAUGUUUCAGUUGGGAACUUGCGUCUUUAAGAACAGAGGAAAGCGCAAAUUGUCACGUCCGAGAAGCGGUGCUAAUCUGGUUGUCUCGUGUCUACGUUGUCUCGUGAAUUGCUGUUUAAUUUUGAAAACUAACCUUCCUCUCGUUUCAACUUGCUCAGCCCAGUGUUUAGUUUCUAGAUCCUUUUUGUUCUCAGACUUAGGGAUUAGGGUUUUUUCCUCUACAAGGAGUGAUUUUCAUUUGCUGCCUUUUGUCAAUAAACUUUGAUUUUUGACCGUCGCCUUAGGAGUUGUGCAUUUGGUUUCAGGGCCAUUGUCCGGUCGUGACACAAACGAUACUGGAUCAACCCGAUAUGUGUUAACUAAACGCGUUACUGUGUUUUAUUUUAUGCUUCAGGGGUAUGUGGGUUAAUUCCAUGUUUGUUUCAUUACAGGGUGAAAACAUUAACCUCACUAUUCGUCACUGUGCAGCAACUGCUUUGUCUCCUUGGUAGAAAGUCCCUGGGACAGCAGAGACACAGCCUACAUUAAACAAUCCGGGAUCAAUUUCGCGACGCUGAGCUGCAAAAUGUAGAAUCAGGCUGCAGCAGACCGUCAUGGUCAGAAAGAUGUGCAUGUUGAGUUGCACAGGUUAAUGUCUCCCCGGCUAAAAGUGAGUGGCGAUAAUAUGUAGGAGCCGCUCUACCAUUAUUCCCCAUUGUCGGAGAGGAGGCUGAGCUGUGCUGAGUUGGCAGUGCUAGGUGCAGGAGAUUACAUUAAUAUAGGCCACUGUGCCCCUCUCCGAGCGUUCACAGCACUUUGCAAUGUGCAGAGUGGAGGAAGGGGUGGGCCUCUCAUCUGCGAGGGGCAGCACAGGCCAGCUGGGUAAUAACGAGAGGUCCUGCAUGCGGCUAAUAUGAGCUAAUCUGUGUCUUCUAUGAUCUAUUCCAAUCUAAUCUGCCUUCUCUUUCCCAUGUAGGCCAUUUGUCAAUGCAUUAACUUGGGACCUGCUAAUGAAGUUGACGACAGACAGGCUGCGUUCCUGCCCGGGACUAGUCUGAUGUGAUUAUGCCUUUACAGAAGGCCCCUCACUGGGUCCAGCUCCCGCUCCUCCUGCUCUAGAACACGUGCACAGUCCUAUGAAUCAGGGUGGAGCAUAAGUGAAAUGGGCAUUCUCAUUGGCCAGCUAGAAUAGCAUGUAUACGUUACUGUAUAAACAGCAAUCUUUGGCUAUUUAGGAUAUUUAAAGGGUAACUCAACGGGAGUCUCGUUCAUCCGGCUCUCCAACAAUCACUUUGCUGCAGUGAUGCACAGGUGGUUUGUAGAGGGACAAAAGCAAGAAGUAAAGAGUUGCUUUUAUUUCUCCUUUCAGCCCUGUUCUAGUCUUUGACAACUCCUGAUCCAGAGGCGGACUAGGGGGAAAAGUGGCCCGGGAGUUACUGUCAGACCAGCCCACUCAAUACACGGUGCGUUGCCCACUCAAUGCAUUACACGUAUCGACCGGUCAGUGGCCUACUUACGUUGUGUCACCAGUCGGUGGUUUCCCCCCAAAAAAAAUUUGGAUUUGCAUUUUCAUGCACCGUAUACCAGACAUCUCUCCUUUUUCUCCCGUUUUGCUGCCGGUUCGUGCUCCAAAACGGCUUUGUGCGAGAAAGUGUUGAGUAGGUUAGGGCGGUGGUGUCAAACUCAAUCACAGAGGGGGCCAAAAUUAGACAACUGCCACGAAUAUCACGAUGCCCAAUACAUACGAUACCAAAAUUCAACACAAUGCGGCGAUCAUGUCUCCCGUGCGUUCCCUCGCUGUGAGCGCGCGCUGGGCUGCCCGCCUCCUUCUCCACCAGAGAAGGCGCGAGUUUUGUCGUGAGUAUCUUUUGCAAUGACUUUUGGUACCUUUAGCAUCAGCUGUGUGACCUAUUGACCGGCGGGCCAGUUAUAAUAUCGUAUAACAUCGUAUUUACCCGCGGGCCAGACACCUAAAAUGUGAGAAUAUGAGUCAUUCCUCAUGUUUUGUGCGUUCUCAAAAUAACCACGGAUGUAGUGUUGAGGUCCGGGUGUUUCUGGACACACCCCGACCUCCUCAUGAAAAGUAUGAAGCUUCUGGUUCAAAGUAUGUGGAUUACGUCCAAAUAAAUUUUUCUUUGUUAUGUAUUAAUAACUUUUUCUUCUAUUUUCUCAUGUGAUGCAAUGCUCGCAAAUUUUAUUUGCUGCUGAAAAGGCAAUAUUUGACUCAAUUGAAUUAUUGUUUGAAUUAUGGCUGUUGGUUGUUUCCGUGCAUAUAUUGAGAGCAACCCCUUUCACAUUACAAAUUUCAUCCAUUGUUCUUAUAAGAUUAUACAAAUAGAUAAGAGCAGCUUGAAAGAUUCAUAAUAUAAGGAAUUGAAUGUUUCAUGACUUCAGCUUUGUUGAAAGCUUCACUUUUGGCUUCACGGUAUAGAAUGUGUUGCUGUUCAAGCACUCUGAUCUUCCAUGUUUAACGGGAGCAAUUACAUGACAUUUUGAUCCUGGGAUGUAAUAAAGUGUCAUUCAUGUACAGUAUGUCGUUAGUCUGAAGAAACUUGAUUGCACGGACACUCUAGGUCUCAUUUAAUCGCUGGCUCGCUCAAAUGCUCUUCCCUUCUUUCAUCCCUUUUUCCCCUCCAGCACUCCUCCUCCUUUAUUUAUCCACUCAGACUCAAUCAUUCCAUUUUUAUCUGUGAUUCCCUUCCCUCUCCUUGUGAACUCUCCGUCAAUCUCUUUUAAGAAAAAAUACUGAAUCACAGACUGAUUUUCUACUCAUGCGUCCUUCCACUUCAACGUCCCUCCUUUUCCCCUUCACUCGCAUACUUUGCUUACUCACCCAUCCAUUUUCUCCCUCCCCAUUCCUCCCCCCCCCUCUCCCGCCCCCACCUCUCCAUCUGUUCUACUUCCACUUGCUUCCUUCAUCCAUCCUUGUCACUUUGACUUCAGCUUCCUUUUGUAUUCCUUUGCCUGCUUACUCCUCUUAUCCCUCUGUGAUGCUCUCACUCCCUCUAAUGAUGCACUCUUUCCUCACCUUUCUCUUUUUCCUCCCCCCCCCCCCCCCCCCCCCCCUUUGCUCCAGCUUGCCCCAACAUCCCCAGUCUCACAUUUAUUACUCCCCCUGACUCCCGCUUCUUUCGGUACCCCCCCCCCCCCCCCCUCUACCUCUAUGCAUUUGUAAAUGUCUCUCUGUCUCUCUCUCUCUCUCCUUCCUUCCAUUCACUCUGAGCGAUGGCUCUAUUGAUUCUCUCUGUGAUGAUAUUGCCCAAGGACAACCACAGGGCAGAAAACCUCUUUAAACUUCUCCGAGUGCCUGUGUGUACAGUGUGUGUGUGUCUGUGUUCAUUGUGUGUGCGACCACAGGCUCGUUUGACUUUUAGGAGUCGUUACUACUCACAUGUCAGAAAAAACAGCCUGUGGCCUGUUUGUGUUGGGUAGAUGAGUUUGUGUGUGUGAUUUCUUGUAGGUGUGCCGACUUUAAGCUCAGUGUCUACAGGUAUCAUGAGAAGGGGGAGAAGAAGUUGAAAGAAGCGUUGUCCUCUAGCUGUCCCUCAUGUUGGGGUGUGGCCAUCAGACUCCAACUGGCUUCAUGGCCAAACAUCAGAAUCAGUCCGGGAUAAUCUCCUCCCCUCCUCUCCGCCUCCCCCGCCUCCCCCCAACCCUACUCUUCAGGCUCUUGGAGAGCAGCCGGCACUGUUGGCUUGAACAACAGGUGGACGACUGCCGUCGCAGAUGCAGAUGCUUCAAAAGUAGCCACAUUGCUAUACGCGCUUUCUGCAAUCUGUUUUAAUCGCAGGCGGGCGCGCACAGAUACACACAAGAACCGAGAUGGGGUACUUAUCUAGACCCUCAGACACACACACACACACACAUGCGCAAUCAGAUCAUAAGAGAUACCAAGAGAGGGAAUAAACUGAUAGCAGAGACUGCAAACUUUGUCUUUUUUUGCACCCUCGGUGUACAUUUAUUAAGUUACUGACAUUCAGACCCGCACAGCAGAUAUUUAUUCAAUUCACUAAAAAUGAACCUGCUGUGGUUGCUAUUGUAGAAAUUCCGCCUUACGUGCAGCUAUCCCGCAUUAGUACUGCAGGAUUGCUACAAGGAAGCAAUUUAUUUUGGUUACAGCAUUGGCCCCGUAAGUAGAGCAGUCAAAAUGUGUCUCCCCUACUUCUUCUGUCCCCAGGGGCUGCAUUUAAUACAGUUAUGUAAUGUUGAGCUGUGUAAGUAACUGUCCAAAACCCCUGAAAACCAUUGAAAACAACCACAAAUAAGAUGAAUAAGCUCAAAAGAAUUAGAAUCAUUUGAAAAGUAAUGCAGAAAAGUACACGGUGAAAGAAAAUGUGUUUUCGCAUCACAAAAUCAGUUGUCCCUGGUGAGUCCCAAAUUACCUGGAAAUAUUUCGCUUUAUUUUCCCCUAAAAGCAUCUGGACAACAACAUUUGAAUCACUUGUUAGGAGAUACGUUUCCUCUUUCUUUAAUACAUACACCCACACUCCAUUUUUAGAGUCUUGGGGGGAGACGGACACAGUUUUGACCACUGAGAGUCUCAUAAAGCUUCUAGUUAGAUGCAAUCGCCGGUUCUGAAAAGUGAAAAAAGAGUGCAGUGAAACUGUGAAUCCUUUGGUUUUUAAGAAGCCGGAUUGUACAGAAGUCUAUGGGAAAAUGACUUCUUCUACUUCUAAAUUAUAGUAGCUCAAAAAAACAUUGAACAUGAGUUUAUGGUCUCAAUCAAUCAUCUCAAUCGCUAUUUUCUAGUCUUCUUGACAAAAGCUGAUGUUCAGAUUGUAACUUAUGCUCCCAUUUAGAGCAAAUCAGACCAUAAAGCAGGUAAUGAUUUAGUGGCUGCUGAGGGUCACUUUAACCUGAUUUCAGAAAUUUGACAUAUUUCAGAUUUGGGUCCCAUUUGGUUGAACUUGUAACUACGUUCUCCUGUGUGUACGGUCCAAAAAAAUAAAAGAACCAAAAAUGCCAAACUUCAAAAUGUCCAAAAUCAGAGUGGGUGACGUCUUUGAGACCAACUUUUUGAACUAAAAUGCAAUUUUUCUUUUUACUGUUUCAAAGUGUUGAGUACAAUAUUAUUCACCGACUCACUGAGUUGUCCUGAGGCAACCAGCGCGUUAUUCUUUAGUCAUUAUUUAACAAUACCUUCCGUCCAUAAUGAUGCAUGGUUGUGUUUUUUGUAACUCCAUUAACAUUAGCGGAUGACCUUUUCGUACACUCCACACCUCAGGUGCUGACAACUUUCCUGCUUGUAUGACAAAUUGAAACAUUUCUAAGUAGGAAGGCAGGCGCAACUGUUGAGAUUGCAUACUUAUGAUGGCGGGUGAUAUACAGUAGUAGGGGGUUACGGGAUGAAGGUCUGCUUUGCGUUGAGCUGGAAAGAAAACAAGGGCGACCCGAGUCAUGUUUAAUUCGUAACACCUCCUGAGACAUGUUGUACAAUAAUUGCUCUGAUCUGCAGGCGGUUUGGCUAUUUAUCCAGGGUAAGAUAACAUAGUGUGAGGUCUAAUGGAGUAAAGCAGAGAGAAAAAUGUGUUAGAAAAGGAAAACCCUAAAUCUUUACCUGUUCACGCUGUGUCUGGCCCGCGUCCACACGCCCGCAUUCACACUCGCCCGGCUAAUGGUGUUCGCUCACACGCAAAGAUUCUGUCGCGCACAUAUGGCCAGGUGGGCCUGCAAAGCUGUGCAUGCGUAUACACUCUCCCCUUUCUAAGCCAAUAAUACAAAGUGAGAGCAUGCGUAAAUUCCUGUCGGAGGCAGCAGCUUGUCUGGUGAAGGUCAGAGCGCAGUUCCUCAGCCAGCCCGCCGUUUGACAGAUCCUCGCUUCCUCCACCUGCAUCUGUGCAUGGACCGCUCCUUCCUGUUCGCAUUUUUAUUUAUUGCUCCUGCUUCUGUCCAUUCCCCCCUUGCAGCUUCCCUUUCAUUCAUUCACCUCUCAAUUUCCUCCUCUUCCCUGCCUUUAAGUUCACCUCCAUCCACUUCCUCUGUGCUAUUCUUCGUUCGUAUUCGGAAGGUGUUUGAACCGGAACUUCCUUUGCUUUUGCGGCUAUGUGACUCUCUCCUCGGUCUCCACUCUCCUUUUAAAGCUUCUCUUUGAUCUGUAGCCAGCUUCUCCUCACUUGUCUCGCCCCUCUCCUUGUAGACCCCCCCCCCGUCUUCCUCUUCUUCUGUCACCUUCUCCGUCUGUGUCACAACCAGAAUAGUGAAAGUUUAACACAAACAUGUUUGAGUAGCAAAUGUAAAGGCUUUUCUUCCACUAAUACCAUCGCAUCACCACCGCUGUCCCCUUUCAUGGGUGCUGUGUGUGUGUGUGUGUGUCUAUCAGACGCAGAGCUAAUUGAGGUCAUUGGUGGUGCACACGCCAAAGCAGGGAGACGGCAAAAAAAAAAGAAAAAGAAGAAAAAAAGCCCAAAGCUUUGAACCUUCUCUCUGCUCAGCACACUGCCCAAAAGUCCCCCGCUCGCUCUGUCUCAUCACGCACUAAUAACACACAAACGCACACACGGGAAGGCACACACGUUUAAUUUGUGACCAAACAGAGGCUUCUAAUCCUCGGAUUUGAGGGAAGCUGUGCAUGUGUGGCCGUCUUUGUAAAUGAAUCGAGGGUUUGUAAGGUACUCCUAUGAGGUGUGCACUAGAAAUGAAAAUAAAUCUGACAACGCUGCGUCCUCUUUUAACCUGGGGGAGUUUCUGUCCUUCUGUUGGUGUCUAUAACCACACACACACACACACACACACAUGGCAAAUAAAAGCUCACCACCCCACCACAUUGCUCUAGGGACAGCUGAUGGGGACUGAUAACGCACUGAGAUGGAAGAAUAUACCAAACGGUCUGUGUUCAUUUGAAGACCGGCGCUUCCAUUCGACCCUCAGAAGUCCAGAGAAAAUCUCCCGGGACAAUUGUCCAAAGCCAAGCAACAUGUCGGGAGACACACACACAGCAAGAGCUCUGUACACAAAUGGCACUCAAGGAUUUCAGUACUUUGCAGUGGAGCUACAGGAAAUUUUAGUCAAACACUAAAAGCAGCAGAAUGAGAGGAGAGCACGUGGUACCUGAGUUGAACCAACACCCCGGGGUGCUGUUCCCACGUCACUCCAUUUACUUGUUUUCCUCUUAAAGUUACAGCCCGCCUUCCAAACACAUUCAUGUUUUGGUUUUCCCUUCACAACACUUGUCAGAUAUGAAGGCGGCAGCGUCGUGCUUUUAAUUUUUCAGCUUUUUUUUUUCUACCGUGGUUUUUUUCGUGCAUCGUAAACCUUUUUCAACCUGCUUCGGGCAGCAGCCCCGUAUUUAUUUAAUAGAGUCGCAAAAUAUUUGGGAACGUUUUGAUUAAUCAAAAGUGAAAUGAUGCAAACAGCUGAAUGUGACAGAAAGUUUCCCCAAAGUAAUCUCUGUCUUCACUCAUGUUCACUCAUCUUCCCUUCAUCACCACUCUGAUCAGAUUUUUCUUAAGGUGAUGCUGCCAGGAAUCAUACUUACUUACGCAUCAGGGACAGGAGCUUGUACCUUUGUGAUUGAUUCAUGCAAAGUGCCUGAAAUUACUCCUCACGCUUAACUCUGUUAUAGACCUGCCAAUAAAGAAUAACGGAAUUAGUUUCAUCUGCGAGCUCCAAUCUCCAUGCAUCUCCUGUAUAAGACAAUUUAGAUCAUCGAUUAGCAGUGUGCGCGAGCGAGACAACGCAUGAGGAGCACGGCACCGCAGGACGAAUGGCAGCGUAAAAUGCCGUGGCCGCGGGCACGAGGUGCCGCCAAACACCGUGACCGCCGCCAUCCGUCACACAGACAAGGCAUUAAUUACAACCAUUCACAUUAUGUCAUAGACCCGCAAGCAAUGAACACGGAUCUCACGGGAGGAAACAAAUUGACCAACACUCGCCACACAUGACCAGCACAAACGCAUCACGCUGACUUCUGAGAUACAUAACGAGACUCGCUCAUGUCGGCCGUGACUACGGUCCACAUGGAAGCCGUGGUCAAGAUCUUUAAAAAACAGAUGUUGGGCUGUUAUUGGUGAUAUAAUAUUCCUCACAUCGUCGCUAUCGACAUGCUACAAUGAAGCAAUAAUCAAUUUCCAGGCAUCAGGCCAGCUGGAAGAUGUUUAUGAUGUAUUUUGACCACCACACUGAGAGACGGAAUAAUGGCCCGCUGGGUGCGUCUGCUUCCCACUGUGAACGGAGCCUUGUAUUGAUCUGCUGGAGUGAACUCACUCUGUCAGACAAUCAGGGAAAUACGGAUCCCGAUGGAUAAAAGUUGCUUCUAAUGAGAAACGUGAUUCCAUCACGUUAGAUCUAAUUUGGAAAUCCUGUUCGUUGUUUUGUUUGGUUUCCUGUAUUGACUGAUUCAGAGGCCUUUAUAUAAACGCUGUGGAGGUGUCUGAUACAACCCAUCCAGCUAUUGACUUGUGUGCAUUGAAAAGUUCUUUAUAUUUCAUUCAUGAGCCCCCCUUCCGCCUCCAUGCCGGACCGAUUCACAGCCGGAGUUAAAGGGAAUCAAUAAUCUUGCCACGGAAAUACUUACAUCAAAGACAGAAAUUUCUCCAACUGUAAAAAAUGUAAAGUAGAUGUCAGACUGACGUGAACUCUAAUUAUUUUGCAGCAAUCCAAUGAAUUCCUGCAGAUCAGAAAUAGUUACAGCCAUUGGCUUCAUGCAGACAUGCAUUUUCACUAUUAGAGACUCAUGUUGUGUGUGCUUAACCCUAUUGGGUGUUAUGCUUUGAGGACACUACAGUAGAUAUUAUUCAUGCACAGUGUUAUAAAAGUCUGCAGUUUCGGGGCGAUUUAGUUACUGUUUAGCCAGCAGGGACGUUAGCUCGGCCCUCGUAACGCCUUGAUAACGGUCCCUCCAGGAUGAGGACACUUGAGUCUUGGGUGAUAAAUUAUCUGAAAAUACAAGGAACAACAUUUACAAGUGUGUUGUAAACAGCUUUUACGCAAGAUCCGAUUGUCACGCAAUACAUAAAGGGGAAACUAUAAAUCAUGUAAAAGCCAUAUCAUUUCCCAACGACCUUGCUUCCUCCCUUUCUUUUGCGGCCCGUGCUCUCGAUUGCACGAUGAAUACCUCUCCUCUCCCCUCUUCAAGUAGAACAGAGAACUAACUCAUCUCCUGAAAUCCCCCCUUAUUUUGACAUUUUGAGGAGGAGUGCAUGGACUGCUGAGAGGUAAUGAGAUGAUGGAUGCUCUGAUUUCUGAUCGGUUUUAAGUGCUGAGCGUGUAUUUCUUCGCAUCUAGUAGUGAGGUUGCAGAUUGUAACGCGUGCAAAAUAAAAUGACAGUAGUACGGUAGGUAUGCCCACGCAGUAGAUUUCAGGAUACUCGAACUGCCAUAAUAUAAUUUAGCUGUAUGUCCAUAUCUCGGUGAAGGUGCAGUAUAUAGGAUUGACCCCUGGAUGUGGGAAGGAUUUGUAAUACAGAGCUGAGAUAAAGCCGAUCCCAGGCCAAUGGAUCCCUCUGCAUAUAAACGGUCCACAUCAGCACCACUGACAAAAAACACACACAGCGCUCUUGCAUAUGCUGGCAUACAAUGCAUGUCGAAUCACAUAUGUGCACACACCCAAACAUGUGCAUACUGCAUCAUAUUGAAAUGAAGGGAUGCAGCCUUCCAUAUAUGGACAGCACACACACACACACACACACACACAGGCAUGCAGGGCUAAGCAGCUGAUGACCCUCGGCUAGCUUCUCUUAUCACUUUAAGCCGGUCCUGGCUUAAGGAUAAGCAAACGGAAACCACCGGAACUGACACUUUGGGUAGAUUUAGGAAAGAAAAACUGUAAUGUACAAUUUCCGCAGCCAUAAAUUAUUUACUCUGCUAUGUCACAAACCUAUAAUAGAGUUGCCUCGUGAACACAAAGUGGGAGGAUUUUGAGAUUUGAGUAUGUGGAUUGGCCAUGAUGUUUGCACGGGUUAUCAUAUUUAAAUAUAUAGUGAAUUGCACCCGGUGAGGGGAUGUGGAGUAUUUUUCCUCAAAAUGACACUUUUUAUUACAACACGCUGAAAAGAAAGUUGUCGAGGGUCUCUUUUGCCCUUGAGGUUUUACAUCUUACAUUUCUGUAUUAGACAGAUCAGUCAGUGGAUUGAAUCAGGGGAGUAAAAACUCAAAUUUCCCAGCCACUUAAAUCCCACAGAGGCAGAACUUGCCAAAGCGCCGCAGUCAUUUCAGCAGCUGGUGGUUAACUGGCAAAUCCUUUUUUCUUAGGCUUAGGGCCGCCGAGCGAGCGGAGUGGCGGUGCCACGGCGCCGCGUCUUUGAGCUAUUCAAAACACACAAAUACACACGACUGUACGGAGGGAACGGCCUCUAGAGGCGGCCGGCUCUUGUUCACGUGUGUCCCCGUGUCCACGUAGUACUGCACGUGAAUGCACUUGUGUGAACACGCGUGUCUGCAUAAUGUGCGUACACACCCACCGAAGUGGCGCUUCUGUGUGACACUCCAGCGCCAUUGCCUGGCGCCUGGCUCGGGGCUGAUAAGGACGCGAUCCUCUCCAGACUUAAAUGCCUUGAAAAUUGAAGGGACAAUAAGUGCUGUGUUGUUUUACGAUCAAUAAAGUCGCUGCAGCACAGUUGAAACAAAGAUCCCUAAAAUUGAAUUAGCAUGAUGACGGGUCCGUUGUUGUCGCAUGGGGCCACUCUAGCGAGUGCCUUUGUAACAGGUUUGCCAAGAAAGAAUGUCGGUGUUCUUAGUGAGUCUUGUAUUUAUCACUGCCGCGGAGUUAUGUGCUUUGAACUGACAGGUUGAUGCUUGAUUUAUCCACGCUGAGCCUGAAUAUCCAACAUUAAUCUCCAGUGUUGGACAGUCCCCCAUGUCUCAUUAAUUGUCAGCAAAGGCCACCUUCCCCGCGCGCUUUUAUAACAGAGGAGCAGCUAAUAUCGCCGCGGCUGCUUUCUGCGGUUCUGUAAACAACAGGCCCCAUUUGUCAUCGCAGUUGUACUCCAUCAGAUACCAAUCCAUCUCCCCUUCCUGAAAUACCAACUGGUUCUCUCUAUUUCACCAAGCAUCAUGUGAGGGUGCCUUUCUCUUUCUCCUCCACAUCCGUCCUUUGCUCCCCUCCACGUUAACUUCUUUUGUCUCCCCACGAUCCUCGCUGGCCGAGUUCAAGCGGUGAAUUAGUAAAGUCCUUGAGAAACCCUGAAUCAGACUGAUUUGGUGUCGGCUGCGUGGCCCUCCAUGUUCUCCCCAUGUCUGCGUGGGUUCUCUCCGGGUUCUCCGGGUUCCUCCCACAGCGCAAAGACGUGCUCUGGGGAUCAGGUUAAUUGGUGCCUCUAAAUGGUCCGUAAGUGUGCAUGUGAGUGUGAGCGGUUGUUUGUCUCUGUUGUCAACCCUGCGAUUGACUGGAGACCAAUCCAGGGUGUAGCCCGUCUCUCGGCCCCCCCGUGACCCUGCAUGAAGAAUAAGCGGCUUAGAAAAUGACAGACUGACAAACAUAACAAUGCAAACUAUACACACUACAAACGCAAACGAGGUAGGAAGAGAUUAAACGCAAUUUGCAAACAUUUCAAGUCACUAACAAUUGUAUAAAUUAAAUUAAACUCUGAACCUGUUUUGCCCAAGUUAUUAUUGGUUUGUUUACAAAUGCACUAUUAUGAUGCAUUUAUUAGUUACAUCCACAAAAUAAGGAAAGGUAAACCGAUAUGCUGCAGUACUGAAAAAGUGUGGAUCUUUAGUUUUUUUAAAAGCCGGUUACCUGAUAAAAAAAGGUCCUUGAGGUUAAAAUAGAAAGUCCGAUGUCUUAACACGUCCAGCCUGUGUUUGAGCCAAUUGAGAACUGGUCAUACCUGGUCGGUAAAAUCUAUUACAGAAACAAAGAGAGGGAGGAAAUGAAGAAUCAACCAAUACCAAUACUCGUUCCGCUGCUGCUGCGAGCUCUCACUCCUCCUCUCUGCAGGUUGUUUGACGGACAAGCGUCUGCAAUUAUAUAAAAGGUGCAGUGAAACGCGUCGCCCGUCUUUGUCACGCCAACCUCGCUCCGGUGCCAGACGCGGUUGGCGUGACAAACGACCCUGGGGCGUGCCAGCCAGAGCAACGAGGGGCAGGGAGAGGGAGGGAAGGGUUGGGGCCGUUUUGAUAUUAAGAUGAUGGGGCCGGCGCUAUGCCGCGGCCCGGAGCCAGAUUGCUUCUUCAGAGGAAUGAAUUAAGCUCAACGUCCCUCCACGGGAGACCGGAAGUUAACAGAGUGAAAACAAAACACACAGGUGCUGCUGUUCACGCGGAAAUGAUUGAUGAGAUGCUAGAUCGGGAUUUCAUUUGGCUGAAUUACGCAGGCCUGUCCUGAAAUGACAGUAUAGCAGCUCCAUGCUGCAUUGUUUGCUAUUCGCCUUUGAGCCUGGUAUGUUUCACGUAAGACCUGGCAGCAGGCUGUGUGUGUGUGUGUGUGUGUGUGUGUGUGUGUGUGUGUGUGUGUGUGUGCUUGUGUGCGUUUUAAUCUCCAUUUAUCCAGGGAAGGUUUGCUCAGCACUCGGGCUCUUUUUGCAGUCAACCUCAGCUUCACAUUUCUAUAGUUAAACAUUCCCAUCGAGGCAUUUUCAAGAACAAUUAAAGUUGUAAACUGUCGAAUACACAACUAAUAAAUGCUUUGGGACAUUUUGAUAGUAGCUGUUAUGGGAGAAUAUAUACUUUUUAAAACUUUUUACUGGCUAUCCAAGAUCAUCUGGCGGCGACUAAACGCAUUCAAAAUGAGACAUUAUGCAAUCAUUGCAGUCACUUUGCGACAGGCCUGAAGGGAGCGUGUUUUUAUUAGCUGGAACUGAGGGACAAAACCAGUCUGAUCUUAAAGCGUGUCGUGGAAAAAGUCAUUAGGAUUAAAGGCCCAAUCAGAUGCUAAUUAGCCGAUCUUGGGGGACAAGCUGGGUUCUUGUUUUCCUGUUACAGUCGGAGCCAGACAUGCAAGACAGGAAGGGGGGGGGGGGGAUUCAUUCACACAUGUCCACGCUGUGUGCAUGCACGCAAACGCAGACGCACACAGGCGGCAUAAGAGGGCAGGUGUACUAGAUGCUCCGCCAUGGCUGACUGACUAGCUGACUGGCAAGGUCACAUAGAUUUGGGAUGAGUAUGCUCGGCAUCACCAAACCCACCGCUGACAGGGGAGGAGGAGGAUGCACAUGCACACUUUUGCAAACGCAGAAGCCUGUGGGGAUCUCGCUCCCCCUCUUGCGCACACACAGUCACUUCCAGGCACAAACAAACAAACAGACACACACACAGAAAGGCACAAGGGCAAAGAAGCCUCCAUGAUUAAAUUGGUUUAUUUAAGAGGGAAAGCGGGGUUGGCAGUAAGGGAGCAAAGGCAGAUAGGGGGUAAAUACAUUUAAAAUGCAUUUCUAUGUUGAUGCAAACACGUGGAAUAGGUUGCAAUAUAUGCACGUUUCCAUGCAAAGAAGCAGGAUUAAAAACGGCAGUUGUAUCAAAGUGAGAAAGCACUGAUAAGAAGGAGGGCUGAAAAAUAAAUAUUUGUAAGUAAUCGACAUACAGAGCUCAAGCACAUUACAGUAACAUAUAGACACAAGCACACGCACGCACACACACACACACACACACAGCUCCAGUGACAGUAGCACGCUAACCCGGUUCCCAACUGCCUUCUCAGCAGGCGGCUAAACCACAUUAGCAGAAACAAUGGAGCACUCAAUCUCCUCCACGUUCCCAGAGAGGGGUAGAGGGGUGAGAAGAAAAAGAUUUUUAAUAUUUUAAUAUACGCGGAGAGGCUGCGGCUUUGGCUUGACCCGGUUUCCAAAUAUGACUGUGUCCGUCAGCUAAUUGGGGAAUAUCACGGUACAGAGCCAGUGAAUAAGGAAGGAUCCUUCUCGGCCAUUGACCCACAACCAUUGCAGUUAACCUAAUAUGAAAGAUAAAUAAUGAAAUGCACCUCAGGGGCGAUCCUGGAACGGUAGACGCAGUGUACCAGUUGAUUCGAACAGACCAGGCACAGCUGUUGCGGCAGCCUGAAUGAAGGAGGAAUCUGUCCCUCCGUCUUCCAGCACGACCCACUGAGUGUUUGUGGAAUGAACUCCUCACAUUGGCACAUGGUAGUUUGCCCCGUUCAUCUCACAGUUGUUGUUAAACCUCCGAACCAUCCAAGGCGGGAAAGAGCUCUCUCCAUUAAGCUAAAUUACACUUGUAUAUCUAAUAAAUGCCUAAAGACGUUUCAGAGCUUUUUGAUCAGUUUUCACAAGGAGGUUAAAAAGAAUGUAGCACACAUUUGGCUGUUGAAUGCUGGCUGUUGUUAGCUGCAGGGAAUUCAGAGCACAGUGACUUUAUCGGGCUGAAACUGAAAAUGAGAUUGAUGGAAGCAGCGAGAGAGAACCAAACACUAAAGGUGUGAGCCGUAAAACCAAAGCGAUGAGCUGAAAGUUAGUGAAACAUCACCGAGCUGAAGGUCACUGCGGAGCUGAUAUUCUUACGAUGUGAUAUCCUUAGUGGGUUCAUCAUCUUUCACACAUAAUCCCCUGACCCAUUGUUACGGACAAUGCUAAUUGAAAGUUCAAAUGUUUAAGGAGAUAGUCCUGCACUUAUUUCCCCUCUUGCGAUAACGUUUAACUGAAGGAGCAGGAGUCUGUCUUAAGAUUGGCUUAGCACAAAGAAUGUAGGCGGAAUAAGCCGCUAAACUUGCUCUGCUCAGAGCGUCCUGUUAAACGGACAGUUUAAGUGUUUUGUCAUUUAUUUAACCUCCAGAUCAACACUAGAUGGAUGAUUUGAGAUUCAGGGAUAAGUUAUGUGCCGUAACUCUUUCUUGGCAAACUUCUGACUGCACUGCAUCUCAUGCAUCUCAAUGUUUUGCUGUGACCGUACAGUACGGUUCAGCAUGAUCCUCCUUUAAAAUAAAACAAUUCGUACCCGAUAUAAAAUGAAUACGUGUAUUUCCCUAAAUGGUGAACUAUUACUACACUUUGCACACAUGGCCCAUGUUAAACCCGGCACUGCAGAGCCUCUCAUCAAGAUGAUGUACAAGUCACGAGGCAACUCCCUUGCUCUCUCUCUCUCUCUCUCUCUCUCUCUCUCUCUCUCUCUCUCUCUCUCUCUCUCUCACUGCCCAUCUCCUAUAUUAGAUAAUGCACAGCCCACCAUGUAAAGAGCAAUACAUUAUUCUAUUCUUGGUGACAACAGAGGAGAAAGGGGGAGAGAAGGAGGCUUAUAAAGAGCAGAAUGAUGAGGAGGCUAAUUUAAGCAGUUUGGAAAUGCUGGAGAGAGAAAGAGAGCAGAGAGGGGGGGUAAUGGGAAUAAGUGUAUGUGGUCAGGUGCCAACUGUCGGGUGGUUUAAAAUGCGUUUAUAGGGGAAGAAAAAGAACACGUUUUAGUGCAUGUAUUUUGGAAAACAAAAUGCCCCCUACAUAAAUCUCUCCCCAGCACUAAUGAACUAUUACGAUUACCCAGAGUAUACUCCCCGUGUUGACAGAGGCUCCACUCCUCAGUCCCAGGGGGCCAGAUUGAGUUAUGCAGCUCCUUCUUUUUCUCCCUCCUCCCCUGCUUCUUUCUGCCUUUUUCCCCACUCCUAACCCUGCUUCUCUCAUUCAGCCAUAUGGGGAAUGACACCCGUAUCUCUCAUCCUCUCCCACAGUGCAACGGGGCUGUGCGACUGUUGCGUUCUGCGGGUUCCGUAGUUAGCAGGGCCUGUGGUGAUGUAUUGAGCGUAAUGGCCAACAGUGUUUGUUGAGAUUAAUUGAUACUAAUGGCUAACGCAGUUAGCGGUGAGUGAUGGCUGCUCCACUGCAGACACACACUGGAGAAUUGGACACAAAUCAAGUUGCGACUCGGCUUCCACUGCAGCAACGCGCGCAGUCUGUCCUGUCAACCGCAGAGGCAUGUGAGACAAAAGAGAUGUGUGCGGGACCAUAAAGCAGCACUUUGGCCACUCGUUAGAUGCUUUAUUGGUGGAUUCUGAUCCAAAUUGUGACAUCCACAGUUUGACACAUAAUUGCUUGAAAAUUAUCGUUCGUGUUUAAUUGAUUCUGAAGUAUUAGCUCCAUUAUAAAGUGUGUGGGGGGGGGGGGGGGGGUGCACCCACAGUUUUAAGUAAAGGAACAAAACACAAAAAACGAUGGGCAUCAUCUAAAAAGUUUCCUCCUCUGAAAAAUGAAGAUGUGAUACAAAUUUUUAAAAUGCAAAAGUCAGCAUGGCAUUGCAUCCGGGAUGGUGAACAGCAGCUUUCGAUUAUGAAAGGAACUGAUGUGAACGUUGCAUAUGAAUGUUGCGAAAGAAGAUGGAAAUUUAAUCCGUCUUAAUCGUGCUUGCAAAAUCCAGACAAGAGUUGCCACCUUUUCUUGCCUCAGCGGGGACGGGGGUACGCUGCUUCCUCUUGCCAUGUCUCCUCCUGGUGUUGAGGAGGUCCCAGAGCUCGAGACAAGCUCUUUGGUAGCUCUUUGGGCCAAAAUCAAGGUUCGACUUGUGCUGCCAAACCCACUUGUCACGUCCAAGUAAUCAGAUCCCUGCCCCAAAGACGAGUCUCCUGAGUCCUUUGGUGGUCGUGUCACGUCGGGGUGGCGGAAGUACUGAUAAAGGUACUUUUAUCAAAAGUUGACAGGUAUCCGGAACUCACAAACCGGGUCAUGACAAUCAAAGUAGCAAGAUUCGAUGACGUGACAGAAUUGAGGAGCCGGGACUGGAGUCGCGGUGAAGAAUUGGGGAGCCGGAGUUGGGGGCAGAAUGCUCCAAAGACGGGUCUGCUGAGCCCUUUGGUGGUCGCAGGCGUUGAAAUGCAGGAGUCAGGGGCAAGAAUCGAGCAGACGG